AUUGAACGCUGGCGGCAGGCCUAACACAUGCAAGUCGAGCGGAUGAAGGGAGCUUGCUCCUGGAUUCAGCGGCGGACGGGUGAGUAAUGCCUAGGAAUCUGCCUGGUAGUGGGGGAUAACGUCCGGAAACGGGCGCUAAUACCGCAUACGUCCUGAGGGAGAAAGUGGGGGAUCUUCGGACCUCACGCUAUCAGAUGAGCCUAGGUCGGAUUAGCUAGUUGGUGGGGUAAAGGCCUACCAAGGCGACGAUCCGUAACUGGUCUGAGAGGAUGAUCAGUCACACUGGAACUGAGACACGGUCCAGACUCCUACGGGAGGCAGCAGUCGGGAAUAUUGGACAGUGGGCGAGAGCAUGAUACAGCGAUGCCGCGUGUGUGAAGAAGGUCUUCGGAUUGUAAAGAACUUUAAGUUGGGAGGAAGGGCAGUAAGUUAAUACCUUGCUGUUUUGACGUUACCAACAGAAUAAGCACCGGCUAACUUCGUG
rnacentral:rRNA from 1 species